GACGAACGCUGGCGGCGUGCUUAACACAUGCAAGUCGAGCGGAGCGGCGAACGGGUGAGUAACGCGUGAGUAACUGCCCCCCUCUCUGGGGUAACAGUUGGAAACGGCUGCUAAUACCGGAUAGUGGGGGAUGACUCGCGUCCUAUCAGCUUGUUGGUGGGGUAGUGGCCUACCAAGGCGACGACGGGUAGCCGGCCUGAGAGGGCGACCGGCCACAUUGGUCUGAGAUACGGCCCAAACUCCUACGGGACGCAGCAGGCGCGAAGAUUGCACAAUGGGGGAAACUGUGUGGCAGCAACCCGCGUGCGUGAUGACGGCCUUCGGGUUGGAAACCGCUUUCAGCCAUUACGCGGUAGUGGCAGAAGAAGCACCGGCUAACUACGUGCCAGCAGCCGCGGUAAUUC
rnacentral:rRNA from 1 species